UACGGAAGGCAGCAGUGGGGAAUAUUGCACAAUGGGCGAAAGCCUGAUGCAGCUAUGCCGCGUGUAUGAAGAAGGCCUUAGGGUUGUAAAGUACUUUCAUCGGGGAGGAAAAACAAAACUAAUAAUUUUAUUUCUUGACGUUACCCGAAAAAGAAGCACCGGCUAACUCCGUGCCAGCAGCCGCGGUAAUACGGAGGGUGCUAGCGUUAAUCAGAAUUACUGGGCGUAAAGAGCACGUAGGUGGUUUUUUUAAAGUCAGAUGUGAAUCCCUGGGCUUAACCUAGGAACUGCAUUUUGAAACUGAAAUACUAGAGUAUCGUAGAGGGAGGUAGAAUUCUAGGUGUAGCGGUGAAAUGCGUAGAUAUCUGGAGGAAUACCUGUGGCGAAAGCGGCCUCCUAAACGAAUACUGACACUGAGGUGCGAAAGCGUGGGGAGCAAACAGGGAUUAGGAUACC
rnacentral:rRNA from 1 species